rnacentral:rRNA from 1 species
GGGGAAUAUUGCACAAUGGGGGAAACCCUGAUGCAGCAACGCCGCGUGAAGGAUGAAGGUUUUCGGAUUGUAAACUUCUUUAGUCAGGGACGAAAAAAAUGACGGUACCUGAGGAAUAAGCCACGGCUAACUACGUGCCAGCAGCCGCGGUAAUACGUAGGUGGCGAGCGUUGUCCGGAAUUACUGGGUGUAAAGGGCGUGUAGGCGGGAAUGUAAGUCAGAUGUGAAAUCCCAGGGCUUAACUUUGGAGCUGCAUCUGAAACUAUGUUUCUUGAGUGCCGGAGAGGAAAGCGGAAUUCCUAGUGUAGCGGUGAAAUGCGUAGAUAUUAGGAGGAACACCAGUGGCGAAGGCGGCUUUCUGGACGGUAACUGACGCUGAGGCGCGAAAGCGUGGGGAGCAAAC